rnacentral:misc_RNA from 1 species
UGGCCCUAUCUCCAAAUUUGUCGGGAUGAAGGCUUAGUUGAGUUUUGAAAUAGGCCCUAUCAAUCUUAAGAAAACAACGUAUGAAAGAGAAACAUCACAACUAGUCGCAUAAGCAAACAAUUUCAAGGGUUCUUAGAAACCUUGAGAGGAGGAUUAUCAGGCGCCAGAGCCUCGGCAACAAACUGCGGUCCAAGAGCUGAACCUCCGAUCCCCACAGAGAGAAUUUGAGUAAAACGGCCUUCUAGCGAAGAUGGGGGUUUAAUCUCACCACUGACGACUUCCUCGGCGAACUUGCAAACGGCGUCAAGCGUCGAGUCAAUCUUCGUUUUCAAAAAAGAGUUGGGCGCCAGGCUCGAAUUCCUCAACCAAUAAUGCCCAACCAUCCUCCCUUCAUCGGGAUUCGCAAUCGCGCCUUUCUCCAGCUCCUCCAUGUCCUUAAACGCCUUCUGUAAUCGGGGCUCCAUAUCCCUCACAAACUCGUCGUGGAAGCCGAUCCGGCUUACGUCCAAAUACAGUCCUAGCUCCUUGUGUUGGUAGAGCCAGUCCACGUAUCUCCUCCAUAGAGCGGUAGGAUCUUUUGUCAACCCUUGUUUCGGCUUACUCGGCAACUUAUCAUUUGUCUCCGAUGAAUCAGAGGAGAUCUCGCGAGCUAUGGACUGAAUUGGCUCGAGUCGAGAGCGAGUUGGAAAUGCGAGUGAGGUCUUAAGGGGCGUGGAAUUGAUAGUGGUUUUUAGAAGAGGGGUUUUGGGCUUGAGAGAAGGGGAAGAGGAGCAGAGGCCGGAGAGGGAGGCCAUUGAGAAACGACGCCGUCGACUGUUACGAGAGAGGGAGAGAGAGAAGAGUACUUACUCCACAGCUGGCGAUAUUUUUUGGUGAAAUCGAAAGUGUGGCUUUUGGGCGUGGAUGACUUUUUG